rnacentral:rRNA from 1 species
GGGGCACCACCAGGAGUGGAGCCUGCGGCUUAAUUUGACUCAACACGGGGAAACUUACCCGGCCUGGACACUGGAAGGAUUGACAGAUUGAGAGCUCUUUCUUGAUUCAGUGGGUGGUGGUGCAUGGCCGUUCUUAGUUGGUGGAGCGAUUUGUCUGGUUAAUUCCGAUAACGAACGAGACUCUAGCCUAUUAAAUAGGCUCUCGGCUUUUAAACGCCGGGAGGACUUCUUAGAGGGACAGGUGGCGGUUCAGCCGCACGAAAGAGAGCAAUAACAGGUCUGUGAUGCCCUUUGUUGUCCGGGGCCGCACGCGCGCUACACUGAAGAGAUCAGCGUGCUUUACGUUCCUGCUCCGACCGGAGUGGGGAACCCAGUGAACCUUCUUCGUGAUUGGGAUAGAAGAUUGUAAUUAUUCUUCUUGAACGAGGAAUUCCCAGUAAAUGCGAGUCAUAAGCUCGCGUUGAUUACGUCCCUGCCCUUUGUACACACCGCCCGUCGCUACUACCGAUUGAACGAUUU